CAUCCCGAACACGGAAGAUAAGCUCGUCUGCGUAUCGGCACGUACUGGAGUGCGCGAGCCUCUGGGAUCCCCGAUUCGCCGCCUUCA
rnacentral:rRNA from 1 species